rnacentral:rRNA from 1 species
AUUGAACGCUGGCGGCAGGCCUAACACAUGCAAGUCGAGCGGCGCGGCGGACGGGGGAGGAAUGCCUAGGUAUCUGCCUCGUAGUGGGGGAUAACGUCAGGUACAGGGCGCUAAUACUGCAUACUAUCAGAUUAGCCUAGGUCGGAUUAGCUAGUUGUUGGGGUAAAGGCCCACCAAGGCGACGACCCUUAACUGGUCUGAGUGGAUGAUAAGUCACACUGGAACUGAGACACGGGCCAGAGUCCUACGGUAGGCAGCAGUGGGGAAUAUUGCACAAUGGGCGAAAGCCUGAUGCAGCCAUGCCGCGUGUGUGAAGAAGGUCUUCGGGUUGUAAAGUACUUUCAGUUGGGAGGCGUUACCAACAGAAUAAGCACCGGCUAACUUCGUGCCAGCAGCCGCGGUAAUAC